rnacentral:rRNA from 1 species
CAGGCUUAACACAUGCAAGUCGAGGGGCAGCAUGGUCUUAGCUUGCUAAGGCCGAUGGCGACCGGCGCACGGGUGAGUAACACGUAUCCAACCUGCCGUCUACUCUUGGACAGCCUUCUGAAAGGAAGAUUAAUACAAGAUGGCAUCAUGAGUCCGCAUGUUCACAUGAUUAAAGGUAUUCCGGUAGACGAUGGGGAUGCGUUCCAUUAGAUAGUAGGCGGGGUAACGGCCCACCUAGUCUUCGAUGGAUAGGGGUUCUGAGAGGAAGGUCCCCCACAUUGGAACUGAGACACGGUCCAAACUCCUACGGGAGGCAGCAGUGAGGAAUAUUGGUCAAUGGGCGAGAGCCUGAACCAGCCAAGUAGCGUGAAGGAUGACUGCCCUAUGGGUUGUAAACUUCUUUUAUAAAGGAAUAAAGUCGGGUAUGGAUACCCGUUUGCAUGUACUUUAUGAAUAAGGAUCGGCUAACUCCGUGCCAGCAGCCGCGGUAAUACGGAGGAUCCGAGCGUUAUCCGGGUUUAUUGGGUUUAAAGGGAGCGUAGAUGGAUGUUUAAGUCAGUUGUGAAAGUUUGCGGCUCAACCGUAAAAUUGCAGUUGAUACUGGAUAUCUUGAGUGCAGUUGAGGCAGGCGGAAUUCGUGGUGUAGCGGUGAAAUGCUUAGAUAUCACGAAGAACUCCGAUUGCGAAGGCAGCCUGCUAAGCUGCAACUGACAUUGAGGCUCGAAAGUGUGGGUAUCAAACAGGAUUAGAUACCCUGGUAGUCCACACGGUAAACGAUGAAUACUCGCUGUUUGCGAUAUACUGCAAGCGGCCAAGCGAAAGCGUUAAGUAUUCCACCUGGGGAGUACGCCGGCAACGGUGAAACUCAAAGGAAUUGACGGGGGCCCGCACAAGCGGAGGAACAUGUGGUUUAAUUCGAUGAUACGCGAGGAACCUUACCCGGGCUUAAAUUGCAGAUGAAUUACGGUGAAAGCCGUAAGCCGCAAGGCAUCUGUGAAGGUGCUGCAUGGUUGUCGUCAGCUCGUGCCGUGAGGUGUCGGCUUAAGUGUCAUAACGAGCGCAACCCUUGUUGUCAGUUACUAACAGGUUCCGCUGAGGACUCUGACAAGACUGCCAUCGUAAGAUGUGAGGAAGGUGGGGAUGACGUCAAAUCAGCACGGCCCUUACGUCCGGGGCUACACACGUGUUACAAUGGGGGGUACAGAGGGCCGCUACCACGCGAGUGGAUGCCAAUCCCCAAAACCUCUCUCAGUUCGGACUGGAGUCUGCAACCCGACUCCACGAAGCUGGAUUCGCUAGUAAUCGCGCAUCAGCCACGGCGCGGUGAAUACGUUCCCGGGCCUUGUACACACCGCCCGUCAAGCCAUGGGAGCCGGGGGUACCUGAAGUGCGUAACCGCGAGGAGCGCCCUAGGGUAAAACUGGUGACUGGGGCUAAGUCGU